GAUGAACGCUAGCGGCAGGCCUAACACAUGCAAGUCGAGGGAGAAGCCCUUCGGGGCAGAAACCGGCGCACAGGUGCGUAACGCGUAUGCAACCUACCUUUCACAGGGGGAUAGCCCGAAGAAAUUUGGAUUAAUACCCCAUAAUAUUAUUGGAUGGCAUCAUUUGAUAAUUAAAAUUACGAUGGUGAAAGAUGGGCAUGCGUCCUAUUAGCUAGUUGGAGUGGUAACGGCACCCCAAGGCUACGAUAGGUAGGGGUCCUGAGAGGGAGAUCCCCCACACUGGUACUGAGACAGGGACCAGACUCCUACGGGAGGCAGCAGUGAGGAAUAUUGGUCAAUGGUCGGAAGACUGAACCAGCCAUGCCGCGUGCAGGAAGAAUGCCUUAUGGGUUGUAAACUGCUUUUAUAUGGGAAGAAUAAGGAGUACGUGUACUUUGANGACGGU
rnacentral:rRNA from 1 species